GUGAGUGUGAGUGUAGAUGUUUGAUCACAUGCAUGCACAAUUGUACAUGUAGAAGUCAGCACUCAAUCUUGGGUGCCAUCCCUCUGGUACAGUUCACCUUUUUAAGACAAUGUCUCCUACUGGUCUGGAACUCAAUAGGCUAUCUCAACUAGUCAGCAAGCCCAGGGAUUUACCUGUCUCUAUCUCCCUAGAUCUGUGACUGCAAGCAUGUGCUACGACAGGCUAACAUUUGUAAACAAAAUGUUAGUUCUGGGGAUCAAACUCAUGUUCUCUUCGUUUAUAGCAUAUAGAAAAACAGACUAGGGGUAAUUCACCCAGUAAUUUGCUAAAACUGAUUUUAAAAAUUCAUAGGAGUUGCAUUUCCCCAAUGACUAAGGAUAUUGAACCUUUCUUUAGGUGCUUCUUGGCCAUUCGAGAUUCCUCAGAUUCAGCCUAUCUGGUUCUAUGUGGAGGUCCUUGAUUCACUUAGUCUUGAGCUUUGUACAAGAAGAUAAAAAUGAAUCAAUUUGCAUUCUUCUACAUACAAACCAUCAGUUAGACCAGCACCAUCGAUUGAAGAUACUUUCUUUUCCAUUGUAUAUUUUUGGCUUUGUCAAAGAUCAAGGGUCUAUAAGUGUGUAGCUUUAUUUCUUGUUCUUCACUUUUAUUCCUUUGAUUGACCUGUCUGUCUCUGUACCAAUAUCACUAUUUUAUCACUAUUGCUAUGUAGUACAGCUUGAGGUCAGGGAUAAUGCUUCCCCCAGAAGUUCUUUUAUUGUUGAGAAUUGGUUUUGCUAUCCUGAGAUUUUUCUUAUUUCAUAUGAAGUUGAGAAUUGUUCUAUCUCUGUGAAGAAUUUGAGUUGGAAUUUUGGUGGGGAUGGCAUUGAAUCCACCAGUCACAAAGACACAUGAUUCAUAGUGGUCUUGUUUGUGAUAGCCAGAAGCUAGACUAUCCCAGAUAUCCAUCAGUGGAAGAAUGGAUACAGAAAAUGUGGUACAUGUACAUAGUGGAAUACUACCCAGUAUUAAAAACUAGGACAUCAUGAAAUUUGCAGGCAAAUGGAUGGAACUAGAAAAUAUCAUCCUGAGUGGGGUAACCCAGACCAAAAAGGACACACAUACAAAUACAGGGACAAAAAUUAGAGCAGAACCUGAAGCACCUGACUAAGAGAGAUGCAGAUACUCACAACCAACCAUUGGAAUGAGCCUGGGGACCCCAGUUGAAGAAUUAGUGGAGGACUGAAGGAGCUUAAGGGGAUUUCCACUCCAUAGGAAGAACAACAGUAUCAACUAACUAGCCCCCCUCCUCAGACCUGCCAGGGACUAAGCCACCAACCAAAGCAUACAUGGGCUGGCUCUUGGCUCCUGCUACAUAUGUAGCAGAAGACUGCCUUUUCUGGACACAGUGGGAGGGAAUAUGCUUGCCCCUGUGGAGGUUUGAUGUCCCAGAGAAGGGGGAUGCUAGAGGGGUGAGGU
ensembl:lncRNA